CAGUAAUGAACCCAGAGUCAGAUGACGUGGAGGUAGACACACAGGCCAGGAGACUAAUGGAAUUUGUAGAGGAGUGUUGUCAAGGGCGAGUUUGUAGAUGACGGGACUGAGACGCACUUCAGCGUUGGGAACCACGGCUGUUACAUAAAAGCCGUGAGCAGCGGGAAGAAGAGAGAAGGGAUUAUCCAUACCCUCAUUGUGGAUAACAGGGAAAUCCCAGAGCUCACUCAGUGACACCUUCUUACUGAGUUCUGAGCUGAGGAGGUGACCUCAGAACUUGCUGAUGACUGUGGCAAUUAAAUGUGCUCAAUGUGUGCUUAUCAAUAGAUUUAGUCUGCAAUGUUUUUAUUUUUAUUUAUUGUUGUUACUUGAAACUGUAAUAUUCCAAUGGUCUGGGGAAA
rnacentral:lncRNA from 1 species